rnacentral:rRNA from 1 species
ACCCGCUGAAUUUAAGCAUAUAAGUAAGUGGUGGAAAUUAAACCAAAUGGGAUUCUGUUAGUAAUUGCGAAUGAACAUAGACAUGCUUAGCUUGAUAAAUGGAGCCUCUGGCUUUGAAUUGUGUUUGUGAACAUGUAUUACCAACAGAGGUGUGGGUGUUAGCGUAUUGGAAGAAAGUGUCAAUGAAGGUGAGAGUCCUUGUUGUCAUGUGCAGCCCUCUGUGCACGGAGUAUGUUUGGUGAGUCACACUCCUUGGCAUUGGAAUGCAAAUUGGGUGGUAAGUUUCAUGCACAGGUAAAUACAUGAUUGAGACUGAUAGCGCACAAGUACCAUGAGGGAAAUAUGAAAAGGACUUUGAAAAGAGAGUUAAAUGAGUUUGCACUUGCUGAACAGAAAGUAAACAGAUUUGAUUAUACUGCGUGAGAUUGUGGUGUUUGCUUUGCAUGUCGAUGUGAAUUGCAAAUGCAAUGUUUGUUGCUGUGUGUGCUAGUUAUUUGUGCAUGUGCUGACCAUUGCACAUGAAUGGUAAUAUCUCUGCGGGGGGUGAUUGUAUGUGCAUGCAUGCAUGUGUGCUCAGGCAUGUGUUUGGUGAUGGUGUGUUGGUAUGUGUGUGUGUGUUCUGUGCUGGGUGUUGUUCGCUGUAUGGGCCCACAAGCUUUAACACUGACUUGCUGGUAAUAUGAUUCUGCUUGACCCGUCUUGAAACACGGUCCAAGG